AUUGAACGCUGGCGGCAGGCCUCACACAUGCAAGUCGAGCGAGCGGCGGACGGGUGAGUAAUGUCUGGGAAACUGCCUGAUGGAGGGGGAUAACUACUGGAAACGGUAGCUAAUACCGCAUACCAUCAGAUGUGCCCAGAUGGGAGUAGCUAGUAGGUGGGGUAACGGCUCACCUAGGCGACGCUCCCUAGCUGGUCUUAGAGGAUGACCAGAAACACUGGAACGGGGACACGGGCCAGACUCCUACGGGAGGCAGCAGUGGGGAAGAUGGCACAAUGGGCGCAAGCCUGAGGCAGCCAUGCCGCGUGUGUGAAGAAGGCCUUCGGGUUGUAAAGCACUGUCAGCGGGGAGGCGUUACCCGCAGAAGAAGCACCGGCUAACUCCGUGCCAGCAGCCGCGGUAAUUC
rnacentral:rRNA from 1 species